ensembl:lncRNA BDNF-AS BDNF antisense RNA
AUCGCGAGAUCAGGAAGGUGGCCGAGUGUGUCGCCGCGGCCAUCAGGCACUUCUCCUUCCUGCCCUUGUAUGAAGAAGGAUGUGUUUGCUUCCCCUUGUGCCAUGAUUGUAAAUUUCCUGAGGCCUCCUCAGCCCUGCAGAACUGGCUAGAGCAAUGUAUCUUAGGCUCACUUAAGGAAGCUGUAGAGAUGAGCCCAAGGAGGGAAACCAGAAGAGCCCCCCAGGCUCACCAGUUGUUUGUUGGCUCCCUACAAACAUGUCAUUCAAGUGGCUAAUCUUACAACAGCACAAAUUCAUCUAACCAGAGAUACUCUAUUAUAGCAAAGAAGAAAGAUAAUUUCAUUGAGCCAUCCUGUUUUACAGGAAAUUCUGCAAGUGGCAACGUGGGUCCAUUCCGUGUGUGUCACUAGAGCUGGCGCAAGCCCAUGGCCAUGGUGAGGCAGCGUUUCCACUGGAACUAAUCUGAUACCUGCACCAGCUCUUGCAACUGUGCAGUGUUCCCACUGCAAACUACGGAUGGGAAUGUCUGCAAUAUCUGCUGGCUUUAUGUUUCAUAUGAUAAGCAUAUCGUCUGUGCCUUCAGACACAUUAUCAGCCAACAUGUCGGUGCUGGAUGUAUUUUCCCAAUGUUGCAUAAGAGGAAUACCUUCGAGAGUUUGGCCUAGGAAUGUGGCCUGGGACUCCGCCAAGCAUCUCUCUCCAGCAAAAUGACUGCAAAUUUCUCGACCUUCAGAUUCUACAUGAUGUAAAAGAAGUUUGUCUGUGUUUAAAAACACAUUCAAGAAAUAAGUGAACAUGUGAAAAGACAGAAAAACUUGUUUUAAUUUGGGCAUAGUUUCAGUUUUCAAAGGCACAUGAAGGCAGAAAGAAAGAAUCACAAAAUGGAACUACUGAUGAUAGCAACUCCAAAACCAAGACUGAUUAGACUAAAUCCCAUGUGGCAAAAAUUUUAUUUAGUAAGUUUCCUUCUCCCUCUCUCCCUUUAGAUAUAUGUGCAUACACACACACGCACCUUUAUUUUAGUAAUUUUUUUUUUCUGAAAAAGAAAGUUUUCUGCACCUGAUUGCUUCCAUGAAUAACACAAAGCACAAACAAUAUGACUUUCUUUGGUUAUCAUGCAAUUUUUUCUCUGCUUACCAGAAAUUGGCACAAAUUUAAGAUAUACUAUAUUCUACUCCCUGAAGCACAGUCGCUGGCAUCUCCACUGGCAUUUAAAAAUUUGAAGACAUUUAAAAGAAAAUCCACAAGCUUAUAGUUGCUGUCUAAAUCAACUUUAACAUUUCAUAUAUUCACAAUUUCAUAAGUGAAUCAAAUUACACAUAAGAAAUUAUAGAACUAAGCCAACUAAAUGACUUUUAUAAUAGGUACUGGGGAAAAAUAUUAUUAAACCUUUUCCUCCAAUUUCUGCCUUUCUUCCAGCAAGACAAACCAUUUUCAUGAAGUUUCUGUCUACAUCACUAGUGAUAAUCUGAAGCAGCCAUUAAUCAAUCUAUUAGUGCAUUCAGCAACAUUUAUCAAAGUGCCUCCCCAGAACUGUUUUGGAUGCUGUUGUGGGCGCAUGCAAAAAUGAACUAAAUAUAGAUUUUUGUCAUCCAAGAAUUUUAAGUCAAUUUGUAAUUAUUGGUUCC